AAAUUUUAUGCCUCGAGCUGCUGAAGCAUAGCAAAGGACAAAGUGUGCUAACUCAAUGAAGGCUUGCAUCCAUGAAUAUUUUUGAGAACCAGUCAAUUCAAGUAAAUGUUUUUCUUUUGGACAUUAAAGUAUCACACUAGAGUUUCCUGCUGCAUUUUCAGAUGGAUGAACAUUUAUAAAUGGAGAAAUGUUCCAAUUCUUACACCUUCAUUGGAUACAUACCUGGUAUAAAAUUUUCCCAUUAGUUAGAACUAUCUAACAACUCUUGUAAAUGAUUAUUACACCAUCAAUUCUUAAUGACAUUUUAAAAAUAGUAGCAAAUAGCUUUUCUUUUCUGUGAUGGAAAUAUACCUCCUGGGGAACCCGCCUUGCUUCUGCAAAAAGGGGUAAUGCGCUUAUUGCAUCAUACCUCCAAAGUGGCAUCCACACUAGAGUGCUUUUGAUCUUAGGUCAUGUUCAGAAGCUGUUUUAUGAUGCUCCAGUCUGGAUGCCACUUUAAG